CUUGAUGUUUCUGUAGAUCCUCCUAACAAACAGAUUUGAGCCCAAAUAACCGACAGCUCCUGCAUACAACAGAUAACACAAAUUUUUUAAAAGCUCAGAAUAGAAUUUUUAUUGGUACAUAGGAGGGUAGCAUCACGGGAUUUUCAAUAAGUUAGCAGCCAAUACUAUUUGCCAUGUACUUAAACCACGCAGUAUGAUAUUCCACAUUCUUUAAACUUCAUUUGUGAUAUAUUUAUAUAACAUAACUUUUUUAGACUUGUUUUCUGUUUAGACAAACCUAAAACUAAUCAACUUAGAGCAUAACAAUAUUUGAGUUCAAAAGGAAGAAUGUCAUCCGCUGCCAGCGAUAGUUAUGUUAAGUAAUUCCAAGGAAUGUGUUGCCCAGGGACUAGCAGACCAAGACAAAACAAUUAAUGCUCUCCUCAAGGCAUUAAAUAUUGCCAUUCACUGACAACUAAUUGCAUCAGCAUGCUGUUGCAAGUCACUAGAUAAGUGUGAUAAAUUGGUCCAAAGAACCAUAUCAUGGCCCAUAUAAGCUAAGCAGACUUUCUAACAUUAAAUAUCGAAGCCUUCACAUGCACUCCCAAGAUUAACUAACAAAAUGAAUAAUAAAAUCUCCAAGGGAAUAACAUCUGUUUACGUUGCAAAACAACACAGGUUAUUGAAGAAAUUAGAUUUCAAUAAAGAACCAACAUAAGGUAAUAAACAUUAAAAAAUUAAUCAGAAUUCACAGGAAAAAGGAAAACAAACUUACCGCAGAGGAUUCCUAAACCCAGA
rnacentral:misc_RNA from 1 species